rnacentral:lncRNA from 1 species
GACCCCUUCUCUUAUACACGAAUUAAGAGCUCUCUCUCCAGAAGAUCUUUCGCUAAUUUCUAUCCAGAUCACGCUAAUCUUUGUCCAGAUCAGAGCAAUCUCAAUUGCUGCGCACGCAUCUCAGAGUUCAAUCCAAGAUGGAUUUAGCGAAUCAAGGUAUGAUUUAUAAUUCAUUAAGUUAAUCAUUCCAUCAAUGGUAUCAGAGCAGAUGGAUUGGAUUCCAAAAUAAAUCAUAUCCAUUUGAUCUGUUGGGUGAGAAGAAUG